rnacentral:lncRNA from 1 species
GGUUCUGGGAAAAAAGAAAUCAUUAGAAAAAGAUUUCUGCCCUCUAGAAGUACACAGUCUAAUGAUGAGAUAGUCAGUUAUUAAUGGCUCUCCUACUAGGAGCCUGACAUCAUGGUGAGCAUCGAGAAAGGAAUAACCUAAGCUGAAGACAUGCCUUUUCUAUAGGAGGCAAAGUUCCACGUUCUGUGAAUGCCUUUGGCGAAAGUCAGGCUGUGGCUUGCCUUUUCACUUCUUGUGUCCUGUUUAAGAAAUAUCUGCUAUCCCAAGCAUCUGGCAUCUUUCUUGACAUACGUAGCAGUUGCUUUUUGACAGCUUGCUUCUGGAGUGAAUGAAUAAAUUAAUAAAUUUAUUCAUUUGAUAUUCAGUGACAUGUGAUAUUCAGUGAUCCAUUUUGCAGAUAACACUAACAAAGUUGACCUUAGAAUUGGAGUGCCCGGGUUAGAACCUUGCUGGUACCACCUGCUUACUGCAUGCUUCUGAUGUGAGUUCAGGAGAAGCCACUGGCAAGGACAGCAAAGAACAGGAGAACACUCUAGCUUCCCUGAUAGCAUUCAAGGUGCUGUCCAAAGCUCUUGAGUUUCUGCUUUCAAGUGACCCUCAGAAAUGCCCCCAUUCACUGCAGAGGUUCUGUUUCUCCUUGUUUUGUUCCGACUUUAUGGCAGAACUAGGUUAAUGAGUUAAUUACUAUGAGUUAUCACUUGGAUUUGAAGAACCAUCAUUUCUAGGCUUUGCUGCUCAGAGUGGGUUUGCCCUCAGGGGAAGCUAUCUAACCAGAGCCUAACCCACUAGGGUUUUAUCAGAACCUAACUGGCCUGAGGAAAAGAAAUAUUCAACUCCAGCAAGCUCCAGCCUUCCAAACGGAGGAGGAGAAAACCCAAAUCCAGCCCACUUCAGCUAUCUUGUCCCACAUAAAGGGGGAGUGGAAGAAACGUGAGAAGCAGGCAUGAAGUUCACAGUCCGGAGAUGACAUGAUUGUCUAUGCAAAAAA